rnacentral:lncRNA from 1 species
AUAACCUGCAUGAUUGCUGCAGAAAACUUCCCUGGUAUUUUCCUAUCUUCCAAGGAUUCUAACCCAUCAGAAACAAAUACAUGAUGAAUUUUACUCCCUAUUUCAUCCUCCACGGCCAGUGCAUUUUUCAUUUGCAUGUGAACAUGCUCUGCAUCUACAAACGUGACCUCGAUGCCGUGUUUUACAAGGCAUCUUGAAAGCUCAAACAAAGGAAUUACAUGGCCUUGUGCUGGAUAAGGAAUCACCAAAACAUGUGGAUUGACCAUUUCUCCCUCUUUUGUUUUCUUUGCUAGGUUUUUCUUUUGAACACAACGAUAUCUAAAAUACCUUAAUUUAUAGGAAGAAAAAUUCGAACUUAGGUGUAGGGGUGGGUUGGAAAAACCGAAAACCGAAAAAAACCGGACCGAAAACCGAACCGAGACCGAAAAAAACCGAACCGAAAAAAAAACCGAACCGAAGCUGUUGAACCGAACCGAACCGAAGCUGUCUGGUUCAGUUUCGGUUUCUGAGGUUCGGAAACCGAACCGAACCGAAGUCUUCAAAACGACGUCGUUUUAUGCUAUUUUAUUAAUUAAUAAUCCUAAUUCUAAUACGCCACCGUUUUACCGAGUGUAACCUAAACCUAGGUCCAGUCCUCCUCUCUCGGUCUCGCCUGUUUUCGCACUCCCAAUUCGCGCAGCCCCUCCCUCCCUCCCUCCUCUCAAACUCUAUCUCAAACUCUAUCUCUCUGCUCUCAUUCCCAGCGGCGGUGACUGAGAAUUCACCCAAAGCCAAACCUCUAAAGCCCGAGUCUGACUCUCAAAACUCUGUCUCUCAAAUUCUGUCUCUCAAAAGGUUAGUACUCUCGACUACACUCUCACGUUUAAUUUUCUGUUGUAGAUUCAAACCAAACCUCUAAACCCGAGUCUUAAACAGGUCAGAGCACUGGAAGUGACUGAGGAUUCUCUAUUAUUUCUCCCAUCAGCAAUUGGCACUGGGCGAGUUAGCACUGGAAGUGACUCAGGUGCUUCAAAAAUUCUCUCUUAUUUCUUGUUUGACAACUUCGAUUGAAACCCAUGACCCAUCUGUUUCCCCCAAUUCAUGUCUUCAUUCAAUUUGUUUAAAAUUAGGGUUGUUGAAGACGAGAUUGAAAGAGUUCGUUCGAAAUUUCUCGGUGGAUUUAAGAACAGUGAGUUUGUGGAGAAAUUCAAGUCCAGCUUGGUAUGUUCUCUCUACCUUCAUUUCGAAAUUUGUUGCUUUCGGCUUUGAGUUUUCAUAGCAAUUGAAUUUGUUAACUUUGCAUUUUGAUUGCUACAUUUACCAAUUUGGGUUUACAGCACUAGGCCAGGUAGAGGUAGGCGUAGAUGGAUUGGGGGUUUGGGGUUGAUCUUGUAAAUUACUGUGUGAUUAGCCUGUAGUUUUAGGGUUCCUAGACUUGCUCAAACUUCCAAUUUUCAUCUGCUGUGCACUGUCUACAGAUCUUGCCAGAUUUCAAAUUAGAUUUUUGGGUCUCUUGGUUAAUCUUGAUUUUUCCUAUUUUAUUUGUUCCUUCUUUUUGGAUGUGCUAAUUCCUGGUUUUUGUUUCUUCCAUGCAAUUUUAUAUAACUACAUAAAGGAAUACCCAACGUACUAUUAGCAUUAGACUUGUGGCAAACAUGUGCUUUUAAAAUCAAAAGCAGUAACAUAACACCAUGAGACUGCAUAUUCAGUAACCAUAGAAAGAACAAAAACAAGUCAACAAAUGAAAAAAAAAACGACAAGUAUACGUUUCCAAUCUAGUAACCUGUUGAUCUUAUAAUGGGUUAUAACCUAUGAGUUCUUUCUUCUACAAAAGAUGCCUCACCUCGGUAGAUCUCAUCACGAUUUUCACUCACAAAUGGUUAGAUUGAAUCAGGCAUCUUCUACUCCCUGGGAAAACAAAUGUUUGAGAAAUGAAUCAGUUAACAAGCUGAAUAAGCUGAAAAAAGAAAAUAUGCCUUGUGAAAUGAAAACACUUAAAGUUUUUGUUUUCUUUUAUAUAUAAUGGAUUUUAUUUUGGCUGGCAUGUUGGUUUCUGUUGGUGCAAUAGGAGUUCCCGUUGAAUGUAGUUGGAAUUUGGGUUAGUUUUGUUUUGAUCUUUUUUUGUUGUUAUUAUCUUGUCGCAUAUAGAUCUGGCCAAUACAAAUUUUGGGCCCUCAUAAGUCAAUUUUUUAGUCUGUUAUUGUUAUUGCACAUUUAAAAACUUAAGCUUCGAUAAGUAGAUUUUUUUGAUUGCUCAAAUAUGAAAUUAUAGGAUUAGGGAAGAGACACAUGCAGUAUCAUUCUUUAACAAUUAAAGGUCAGGUGGUAAAGGUCAUGAAAGCAUCAAUUGGGGACUUAAAUAAACACGAGUUUUAUAAAUUGUUAAACUUUGCUUUUAAUUCGAAAUCUCUAGGUUUUGGUGUUUGACAAUUGAACAACUUUGCUUUUAAUUUAGUAGGUAUUGGGAUGUAAAAGUCUUAUCUUUUUGUUUUGUAUCUUAAUUAGAUGAAGUCAAGUGCAUCAAAGGCCUCGCCCUCGAGCUCAAGCUCAAACUCAAUGAGAUCAUCAAAUAGCUCCCGUGAAAAAAUAAACUCAUCAUUGGAAUUUGGAAGACUUGGAUUCUCAUUCUCAUCAUGGUUUUGUUGUUGUAAAUAUGUUAUUUCCCGAAGUUGGACCGUGGAUGGAGAAUGUGAGCUUUUAUAUUUUCAAAUUUUUUAUUUUUUGGAGACAAAAAAAAAAAAACCGAAAAAAAACCGAAACCGAACCGAAAAAAAACCGAAAAAUGUGAACCGAACCGAACCGAAAUUUCGGUUCAGUUUCGGUUUUAGGAAAAAACCGAACCGGUGGGAACCGAACCCACCCCUACUUAGGUGUAAGGAGACAGACACACUACCUUGAUUAAUUGGUCUAACUCACAUAUGUUGUUGAAAUUCAAUCUCAAGUUUGUAUCACUUUUAUAGAGAGGUUGGAUGUAUGGACCAAAACAUCAAGAAUUUGUCUUGAUAUUAGUUGGAAUCAACAACAAAACCAAACCUAAUCUUUCGACCAAAAAAAACUAAACCUAAUCACUACCAUUUUCUAUUGUUGCAUCAUUGUCCUUGUUAAUGGUAAUUAAAUUCAUUAUUGUCCUUUUCUUUUGUUGUUACUGUACUGGUACAUACUUUUUGAAUUAUGCUGAGGUAUGCUGUGGAUUUAUUUGUUUUCUUCCCUUUUUUUUUCUAUCUAAAUUGCCAUCUCUUCCUAAUGAAUUUAUUUAUUUUUAGUUACGCCCCCUGGAACUCGAUUUUAAUCUCGCUUUACUUCCUAUAAUUCAAAAGUCGUCACUUUACUCCCUGAAAUUCAAAGUUUGCUUCACUUUGCCUCUGAAAGUCGAUUUUGUUUCCAUUUUGCCCCUUAAAACUUAAUAGUCAUCUCUAUAAAACUUAAAAUUGGCUCAACAUUGCCUUAGAUUUGUUAAUUUCUUAUGUGGGUUUGAUUU